GCUGUCAUUAUUGUCUUUUAAAUACUUCAACUGCACACCGGGAACACUGUAGAAAAUGGCAGAGCGAGACCUCUAGCAUCUUUAAUAUUGCUUGAAGAUGCAGAGUGGUGUAUCUGUUGUGCAACCCCUGGUGAGAAAAUUGGCUGUGGAAGUGGUGUUCUUUAUAAAUGCUGUGGAAAUGCUACUACUUAGAGUUUAAAGUCGAAUGCAGAGGCAACCUGUUGCAUGCUGUAGAUGGUGUAACCUACUAAAAGUUCUGUGGAAACAGUGGUUAAAUUCUCAACAUGCUAAAUUCUGUGCUACCCUGGCUGUGGUAAAUCUGGUUUGUGAACACUGACUGCAGAGAUCCAUCCUUACCUUAUCUAUCAUUCAGGAGCCAGAAGUCCCAGUGAGGAGAAGGAGGCUGGUGAUGCUGCAAGGGCAGGCUGAAUACACAAAGUGUCCUAUUGCUGUUUGCACUGAUAUCAUUAGUUUAUUUACACAUCCUGAUUUUACUUUCUCCCUGACCAACUCCCUGUACCUUAUGUUUCCUGUGUGCUGGUUUCAGUGCUGCUCACACAGAGAGAGCAAACAAUUCAAUCAGUCCGUGGAGUUUGCGGAACAGGCUGUGCACACCUAACUCCCUAGCUGCCAGCAGAUGGGUUCUGAAAAAGUGAACUGCCUUCCCGCUUGUGUUUGUUUUCAAAUGGCAAGUCAUUACUCCUGGGAUACCAAGCCAGACUCUCAUUUCUACUGCUGAAGGACUGUUUGUUUUUUUCAUGACUUUUAAAUGGAAUGUUUGGGUUGAUUCAUAGGGGCUCUAUGUGGUGUCUUGUGAACUCUCUAGCUCAAAUACCAUGUUUAGGUGUGUGGUCUUCUUGUCAACCACAAGUUUGUAAAUGAAGGUCCACUUUGUGAGUUUAACUGAUCUGAAAAUAUAAAAUUUCUCACAGAAACAACCUUUUUUCUAUCUCAUGCUUUAUUCAAGCCAGUGGGAAAGAUAAGGGGGAGUCAAAGAUCUACUAGCUUAAAUAUUCAGAGGGCUUAACAAAAACUGCUUUUGUAAGAAAUCUGUUCUCCACUUAUGAUGACAAAUGCAUUCUGGAGUCUUCUAAACCUUUCACCCUCUGUCGUUACUCUGGAUUUUUUUUAAGUGAUCAUUCCAGAAAGACCAAG
rnacentral:lncRNA from 7 species